UUAAAUUGAAGAGUUUGAUCAUGGCUCAGAUUGAACGCUGGCGGCAGGCCUAACACAUGCAAGUCGAACGGUAGCACAGAGAGCUUGCUCUCGGGUGAC
rnacentral:rRNA from 2 species